rnacentral:rRNA from 1 species
GAUGAACGCUGGCGGCGUGCCUAAUACAUGCAAGUCGAGCGAACGGACGAGAAGCUUGCUUCUCUGAUGUUAGCGGCGGACGGGUGAGUAACACGUGGAUAACCUACCUAUAAGACUGGGAUAACUUCGGGAAACCGGAGCUAAUACCGGAUGAUAUUUUGAACCGCAUGGUUCAAAAGUGAAAGACGGUCUUGCUGUCACUUAUAGAUGGAUCCGCGCUGCAUUAGCUAGUUGGUAAGGUAACGGCUUACCAAGGCAACGAUGCAUAGCCGACCUGUGAGGGUGAUCGGCCACACUGGAACUGAGACACGGUCCAGACUCCUACGGGAGGCAGCAGUAGGGAAUCUUCCGCAAUGGGCGAAAGCCUGACGGAGCAACGCCGCGUGAGUGAUGAAGGUCUUCGGAUCGUAAAACUCUGUUAUUAGGUAAGAACAUAUGUGUAAGUAACUGUGCACAUCUUGACGGUACCUAAUCAGAAAGCCACGGCUAACUACGUG